ACGAAUGUUUUAUCAGAAAUUUCUACUGGAUAUCUAUACGCAAACGAAUGUUUACAAUAAAUGGAAGCAAAACCUUUCUGCUGGAGAUCUGCAACUCUCCAGAGAACUAUCGUCGUAGACCUUUCUUUUCUGCUUCAUCUCUUCUUCUCCGGCCUUUUUGAAUUUUCGAUAAUGCUAUUUUGAAUUUCGAUAAUGGGCCGCCAAACUUGAAAUUGCACUCUAGGCUUUUUUUCUACUGCG